CCAAGCUGGCUUGACAGCUGGUGAGUGUCCAUACUGCAUGGAAUGGAACCAGCCCAGUGGCUGGAUGACAUCACAUGGCCCAACACCACCAGAAGUGGUUCAACAUCCCUGGACCCCCAUGUUAGGCCAUGUUAAGGACUGAAGACUGACCCAAGAUGCUUUGCUGCCUGAGACAAAGGACAAGAUGGUGCCCCUGCUCCUGGAAGGAAAUGAACCAGCAGGUGAAUUUUACCACAAGUU
rnacentral:lncRNA from 11 species